rnacentral:rRNA from 1 species
AGUCGAACGAAGCAUUUGCGACAGAUUUCUUCGGGAUGAAGUUGCUUAUGACUGAGUGGCGGACGGGUGAGUAACGCGUGGGUAACCUGCCUUGUACUGGGGGAUAGCAGCUGGAAACGGCUGGUAAUACCGCAUAAGCGCACAAUGUUGCAUGACAUGGUGUGAAAAACUCCGGUGGUAUAAGAUGGACCCGCGUCUGAUUAGCUAGUUGGUGAGAUAACAGCCCACCAAGGCGACGAUCAGUAGCCGACCUGAGAGGGUGACCGGCCACAUUGGGACUGAGACACGGCCCAGACUCCUACGGGAGGCAGCAGUGGGGAAUAUUGCACAAUGGAGGAAACUCUGAUGCAGCGACGCCGCGUGAGUGAAGAAGUAAUUCGUUAUGUAAAGCUCUAUCAGCAGGGAAGAUAGUGACGGUACCUGACUAAGAAGCUCCGGCUAAAUACGUGCCAGCAGCCGCGGUAAUACGUAUGGAGCAAGCGUUAUCCGGAUUUACUGGGUGUAAAGGGAGUGUAGGUGGCCAUGCAAGUCAGAAGUGAAAAUCCGGGGCUCAACCCCGGAACUGCUUUUGAAACUGUAGGGCUGGAGUGCAGGAGGGGUGAGUGGAAUUCCUAGUGUAGCGGUGAAAUGCGUAGAUAUUAGGAGGAACACC